rnacentral:rRNA from 1 species
CUGCAGUAGGAAUCUUCCACAAUGGGCGAAAGCCUGAUGGAGCAACGCCGCGUGUGUGAUGAAGGCUUUCGGGUCGUAAAGCACUGUUGUAUGGGAAGAAAAGUUAAGGUAGGGAAUGACCUUAGCCUGACGGUACCAUACCAGAAAGGGACGGCUAAAUACGUGCCAGCAGCCGCGGUAAUACGUAUGUCCCGAGCGUUAUCCGGAUUUAUUGGGCGUAAAGCGAGCGCAGACGGUUGGUUAAGUCUGAUGUGAAAGCCCGGAGCUCAACUCCGGAAAGGCAUUGGAAACUGGUUAACUUGAGUGCAGUAGAGGUAAGUGGAACUCCAUGUGUAGCGGUGGAAUGCGUAGAUAUAUGGAAGAACACCAGCGGCGAAGGCGGCUUACUGGACUGUAACUGACGUUGAGGCUCGAAAGUGUGGGUAGCAAACAGGAUUAGAUACCCUGGUAGUCCACACCGUAAACGAUGAACACUAGGUGUUAGGAGGUUUCCGCCUCUUAGUGCCGAAGCUAACGCAUUAAGUGUUCCGCCUGGGGAGUACGACCGCAAGGUUGAAACUCAAAGGAAUUGACGGGGACCCGCACAAGCGGUGGAGCAUGUGGUUUAAUUCGAAGCAACGCGAAGAACCUUACCAGGUCUUGACAUCCUUUGAAGCUUUUAGAAAUAGAAGUGUUCUCUUCGGAGACAAAGUGACAGGUGGUGCAUGGUCGUCGUCAGCUCGUGUCGUGAGAUGUUGGGUUAAGUCCCGCAACGAGCGCAACCCUUAUUGUUAGUUGCCAGCAUUCAGAUGGGCACUCUAGCGAGACUGCCGGUGACAAACCGGAGGAAGGCGGGGACGACGUCAGAUCAUCAUGCCCCUUAUGACCUGGGCUACACACGUGCUACAAUGGCGUAUACAACGAGUUGCCAACCUGCGAAGGUGAGCUAAUCUCUUAAAGUACGUCUCAGUUCGGACUGCAGUCUGCAACUCGACUGCACGAAGUCGGAAUCGCUAGUAAUCGCGGAUCAGCACGCCGCGGUGAAUACGUUCCCGGGUCUUGUACACACCGCCCGUCACACCAUGGAAGUUUGUAAUGCCCAAAGCCGGUGGCCUAACCGUAAGGAGGGAACCGUCUAAGGCAG